rnacentral:rRNA from 1 species
UACGGAGGUGGCUAGCGUUGUUCGGAAUUACUGGGCGUAAAGGGCGCGUAGGCGGCUUUGUAAGUUAGAGGUGAAAGCCCGGAGCUCAACUCCGGAAUUGCCUUUAAGACUGCAUCGCUAGAAUCAUGGAGAGGUUAGUGGAAUUCCGAGUGUAGAGGUGAAAUUCGUAGAUAUUCGGAAGAACACCAGUGGCGAAGGCGACUAACUGGACAUGUAUUGACGCUGAGGUGCGAAAGCGUGGGGAGCAAACAGG